AGAAACUUAAGCAAAAGAAAAGCAGGAGAGAACUACUGCAGAGAUGAGACCUGCUCUUCCCCAAGGAACCCUGGAGAAAGUUGAAGCCAGGGAUCAAUAAGGCCAAGGUGAAACUGGCCCAGGGGAUAAUAGAGUGACUGGUUGAAGGAUGUGCCCUGGAGUGAGCAAAUGGAGGAAGGAGUCGAGCAGGACCUGAGGUAACUCUGGGCCUUCAGAUGGUCACAGAGGAAGAAAGGAAAAGAAAGGAGGAAUGUUCUUUACAACGGGACACCGGAUUGCCUAUUGGCUCCACUUCCAUACAUUCACCAUCCACCAUCCAACCUUAUUGGGAAACCUUUCUGUCAGCAUCCUCAUCGUAUUCACCCCUUGCACCUUCCAUGUCAUCAUGGAAACAGACAUAUAGAAACCUAUGCCAGAUGCCUAUAGCAUUGCAAAGUGCCAAGAGAGGAAGAACCAAAGGUA
rnacentral:lncRNA from 10 species